rnacentral:rRNA from 1 species
GAGUUUGAUCCUGGCUCAGGAUGAACGCUGGCGGCGUGCCUAAUACAUGCAAGUCGAGCGAACGGACGAGAAGCUUGCUUCUCUGAUGUUAGCGGCGGACGGGUGAGUAACACGUGGAUAACCUACCUAUAAGACUGGGAUAACUUCGGGAAACCGGAGCUAAUACCGGAUAAUAUUUUGAACCGCAUGGUUCAAAAGUGAAAGACGGUCUUGCUGUCACUUAUAGAUGGAUCCGCGCUGCAUUAGCUAGUUGGUAAGGUAACGGCUUACCAAGGCAACGAUGCAUAGCCGACCUGAGAGGGUGAUCGGCCACACUGGAACUGAGACACGGUCCAGACUCCUACGGGAGGCAGCAGUAGGGAAUCUUCCGCAAUGGGCGAAAGCCUGACGGAGCAACGCCGCGUGAGUGAUGAAGGUCUUCGGAUCGUAAAACUCUGUUAUUAGGGAAGAACAUAUGUGUAAGUAACUGUGCACAUCUUGACGGUACCUAAUCAGAAGGCCACGGCUAACUACGUCG